GACGAACGCUGGCGGCGUGCUUAACACAUGCAAGUCGAACGGAAAGGCCCUGCUUUUGUGGGGUGCUCGAGUGGCGAACGGGUGAGUAACACGUGAGUAACCUGCCCUUGACUUUGGGAUAACUUCAGGAAACUGGGGCUAAUACCGGAUAGGAGCUCCUGCUGCAUGGUGGGGGUUGGAAAGUUUCGGCGGUUGGGGAUGGACUCGCGGCUUAUCAGCUUGUUGGUGGGGUAGUGGCUUACCAAGGCUUUGACGGGUAGCCGGCCUGAGAGGGUGACCGGCCACAUUGGGACUGAGAUACGGCCCAGACUCCUACGGGAGGCAGCAGUGGGGAAUAUUGCACAAUGGGCGGAAGCCUGAUGCAGCAACGCCGCGUGCGGGAUGACGGCCUUCGGGUUGUAAACCGCUUUCGCCUGUGACGAAGCGUGAGUGACGGUAAUGCGUAAAGAAGCACCGGCUAACUACGUG
rnacentral:rRNA from 1 species